rnacentral:rRNA from 1 species
UUCUUUAAGACAUAAAUUAAAGUAAAACCUGCUCAAUGAAACUUAAAUAGCCGCAGCUUACUGUGCUAAGGUAGCAUAAUAAUUAGCUUCAUAAUUAGAAGAUAGAAUGAAGGGUUAAACGAAAAUAAACUGUUUCACCUAUAAAAAUUAACUUUCUACAUUAGUUAAAAAGCUAAUAACCCACACUGACGGACGACAAGACCCUGACAAACUUACCAUUUAGUUGGGGUGACAAUAUAAACAAUCCUUAUAUGUACAACAAAACCUAAAUUAUUAGAUACUAGAAUAGUUACUGCAGGGAUAACAGCGCUAUCCUCUCCAAGAGCCCACAUCUAAGAGAGAGAUUACGACCUCGAUGUUGAAUUAGUUUACCUUAUAGGCGCAAAGGCCUAUACACGUUGGGUCUGUUCGACCUAUACCAAACU